CUGAACUAUACUCCGAGAACGAAAGUUUUUGGUUUUAAUCAAUAACAACUUUCAGCAGUGGAUGUCUAGGCUCGCACAUCGAUGAAGAACGCUGCGAACUGCGAUACGUAAUGCGAAUUGCAGAAUUCAGUGAGUCAUCGAAAUUUUGAACGCACAUUGCACUUUCGGGAUAUUCCUGGAAGUAUGCUUGUAUCAGUGUCCGUACAUCAAACUUGCCUUUCUUUUUUUGUGUAGUCAAGAUUAGAAACGGCAGAAUGUGAGGUGUCUCGCUGGCUCCCUCUUCGGAGGAGAAGACGCGAGUCCCUUUAAAUGUACGUUCGCUCUUUCUUGUGUCUAAGUAGAAGUGUGACUUUCGAACGCAGUGAUCUGUUUGGAUCGCUUUGCGCGAGUGGGCGACUUCGGUUAGGACAUUAAAGGAAGCAACCUCUAUUGGCGGUAUGUUAGGCUUCGGCCCGACUUUGCAGCUGACAGUGUGUUGUUUUCUGUUCUUUCCUAGAGGUGUACCUGUCUUGUGUGAGGCAAUGGUCUGGGCAAAUGGUUAUUGUGUAGUAGAAUUUUGCUGCUCUUGGGCGCCUCACUUGUGGGGUAAAGAAGACAACACCAAUUUGGGACAGUUUGUGGGAUUUAUCUCGCAGGCGCUUU
rnacentral:rRNA from 1 species